GCUACAGAAGAGGGAAAUCUGACAAAUGGAUUCACCCCAAGAGAAUUAGUGACCACUAUAACUGCAGUAUACAGUGAGCAACCAGAAAGAACUGCAAUUUACAAAAUAAGAUGACUAAUGAACAAUUACUGGUUGCUGGCAGCCAUCUUAUUACCAUGAGGACAGAACCAGCCUCAGUAAAAAGGCAGUGCUGUAGAUGGCAGAGCAGAGAGAAGUAUAGAGCUCAAGCUUUCGAUCACACUGAGUCACUGAAUCAGCCAAACCAGGUGCCUUUUCUUCCUCUGUACCACCUGGUAUGUGAGGCGGUACACAUUUUCCUUGUUUAAGCUACACCACAUGAGAGCAUCUGUUACUUUGGCCACACUUAACUACUUAAUGUCAGAUAUAUUCCUAAAACUCAAUAAAAUGAAAGUAAAUGUA